rnacentral:rRNA from 2 species
UAGGGAAUCUUCGGCAAUGGACGAAAGUCUGACCGAGCAACGCCGCGUGAGUGAAGAAGGUUUUCGGAUCGUAAAACUCUGUUGUUAGAGAAGAACAAGGACGUUAGUAACUGAACGUCCCCUGACGGUAUCUAACCAGAAAGCCACGGCUAACUACGUGCCAGCAGCCGCGGUAAUACGUAGGUGGCAAGCGUUGUCCGGAUUUAUUGGGCGUAAAGCGAGCGCAGGCGGUUUCUUAAGUCUGAUGUGAAAGCCCUCGGCUCAACCGGGGAGGGUCAUUGGAAACUGGGAGACUUGAGUGCAGAAGAGGAGAGUGGAAUUCCAUGUGUAGCGGUGAAAUGCGUAGAUAUAUGGAGGAACACCAGUGGCGAAGGCGGCUCUCUGGUCUGUAACUGACGCUGAGGCUCGAAAGCGUGGGGAGCAAACAGG